CCCGGGAAGGGAUUUCCGAGCCGCGGGCCAGCUGAUGCGCGCUGCGCUCCGCGGCUCUGACACUUCCCCAGCUGGACGGCUAAAAGCUAGCCGCCAUCGCCGUCGCCUCCCACCGGAAGCUCCGCUAAUUUGACUUAUUUUGAUCAGUUUUUAAUCUGUUUUUAACCGUUAUUUAUGAACAGUUUUAAUUCGUGAGUAUUUGCGGAAUUUUAUGCAGCACAGCCAGCUUUGUGACUUUGGGACAUAAGCAGGAGAUGGUGAGUAUUUGUGGAAUUUUAUAGAGCACAGUCAGAGAGAUUUCUUUUGACAAAUCAUCAGGAAACGGUGAGUUCUCUUCAAACGUUCGGCACGACAGCCAGUAGCAGGACUUUGGGCAAGUAAGUAGGAGACAGUAACUUCUCUUGCAGUUGGAAAGGUCAGAUCUGGUCUUAUAAUUUGCAGAACAGCCAGCUGAGAAACUUUGGUCCCCAAACCAGGAGAUAGUGACUUCUAGUGCUGCAAUGUGCAUGGUAAGUUUAUUCCUGCAAUAUGAUUGACAGCCGGCUGAGUGACUUUGGACCAAUAAGCAGAAGAUGGUAACUACUACUUCAUUUUGGAAGAUAAGUUCUAGUCUUGUAAUAUGAAGAAUGGCCAGCUGAGUGACUCUGAGCCACUAAGCAGGAGAUUGUGAGUUUUCUUAGGCACAAAAGCCAGCAACAUGAGAAGACGGUGAGUUCUAGUCUUGCUAUACAUACAAGAGGUGGAUUGAUGACUUUGGGCCCAUAACUAGAAGACGGUGACUUGUAGUCCUGCAAUAGGCCGGGUAAGUUCUUCAAUUUGCAUGACAGCUGGCUGUGUGACUUUGGAUCAAUAACCAGGAGACCAUGACUUCCAUUCCAGCAAUAGGUUUCAUGAGUUCUACUCCGGCUGAGUGACUUUGGGCGAAUCCCAAGGAGAAGGUGAGUUCUACUCCUGCAAUUUGCAUGAUAGCCAGCUUUGCGCCAAUAACCCAAAGAUGGUAAUUUCUAUUCCUGCAAUAGGCGUGGUGAAUUCUACUCCUGCAGUCUAUAUGAGAGGUGGCUGAGUGACUUUGGACCAAUCAUCAGUUGAUGCCCAUGAAGGAGGCCAAAGGAAACCACUUCUGGAAAAUGUUCCUAGAAAAGCACACGGAGUUCUUCCGACAGUCUCCGAGAACUGGAAUGUGACUCAACGGGAGAGAAAAAUAGCAACAGAUGACGGGGAUGGGAGGGAUCCUCCUCAGCACAUCCCAUCCCGGCGAAGACCUCAGUGAUGCUGGGCAGAGGCCCCCUUGUCCCCCAGCCAGACCAAUGUCCCCUGUUGCCUGAUCCGAAGUCAACGACUGAAGUUAGAGCCCGGCCAUUUCACCUGGCAGUUGCUGAAUGAGCCACAAACACUCGGUGCUGCUCCGUAUCAUCCGAGAAGUGUAGAGUCCCCACAACCCAUGAAUCUGAACCGAACUCAUCUGGAUGUGUGGUCUGGGAAUUCUGGGAGUUGAAGUCCAAACAUCUCAAAAAUCGCCAAGUUGGAGAAGCACCGAUUUAGAGGCUCCCCGAUUCCAGAUGGCUGUGGGCAGCUGACUUUCCCCGACAGAAUCAUCAAAAGAACCAAGAAACAGACCGUGAGCAUCCAGGAGACCCACUAAACAUACGGCAACCUCCGAGGGUUUCUCUGCCAGCCUGCCCGACGUCUAACACCGAACCCAGUUUCGCAGUGACCUGACUGGCACACAGAACUCUACCUGGACUCGUCUCGAUUUGAUUCAUAAUUUAUUCCUAAUAAAUGUCACAAGACAAAUCAUGA